rnacentral:rRNA from 1 species
AGAUGGCGACCGGCGCACGGGUGAGUAACACGUAUCCAACCUGCCGAUAACUCGGGGAUAGCCUUUCGAAAGAAAGAUUAAUGCCCGAUGGUAUAAUCAGACCGCAUGGUCUUGUUAUUAAAGAAUUUCGGUUAUCGAUGGGGAUGCGUUCCAUUAGGCAGUUGGUGAGGUAACGGCUCACCAAACCUUCGAUGGAUAGGGGUUCUGAGAGGAAGGUCCCCCACAUUGGUACUGAGACACGGACCAA